rnacentral:rRNA from 1 species
UGUGACUGAGCGGCGGACGGGUGAGUAACGCGUGGGCAACCUGCCUUACACAGGGGGAUAACAGUUAGAAAUGACUGCUAAUACCGCAUAAGACCCCGGGACCGCAUAGGUUCCGAGGUAAAAACUCCGGUGGUGUAAGAUGGGCCCGCGUCUGAUUAGGUAGUUGGCGGGUAACGGCCCACCAAGCCGACGAUCAGUAGCCGACCUGAGAGGGUGACCGGCCACAUUGGGACUGAGACACGGCCCAGACUCCUACGGGAGGCAGCAG